ACUCAAAAAAACGAUUCCUGGCAAUAUUUACUUUUAAGUAUUUGGAUCAUUUAGAUUUUAUUUAAAUACUCGUUUUUUAAAAUAUAUGUAAUCCGAUUUAUUAGAAUAUAUAUAAAUCUGUUCAAUUUAAAAACUAUUAGAUUUAAUCAGUUAAAAUGUAUGAAUAUGAAUUAAAUAAAUCUAGCCGUGAAACAAACCGGAUAAAUUCUAUGAGAUUGAUUUACAUACAAGUGUCAGGAAACUGACUUUAGUAGAAGCGGAAAUGACGUCUAUUCACACUCCAGUCAGGAGGUGGCGCCAAAAUCAAAAACAGACGCUACAGCACAUGGACUUCGCCAUUUUGCAUUGCACUGGAUCGUCAUCUCACUAGCUUACGAUCGCCAAAUUGUAGGUGAGUAAAGUUAACAAGUUUGAUGUGAUUAUCUAAAAUAUAAUUGUCUGUUGUUUAAUUACAUGUGUAACGCGUUGCAUGUUUCAGAGUAAAAUACACCUCACUACACAGAUGGUCUGUUGGAAUGUAAGUUACCCUGCAGUGUCUGUUGCUUUUAUUGGUUAUUUUUUGUGGUUUAAUGUUUGAAACCUAAGAAAUAAAUAAAGUCAUAGGCUACUGGAGACUUAUCAGAAUAAAAUAAUCAUAUAAUCUCUGUGACUUUAUUAACAAAAGAAUGUUACAAUUAUACUAUGUUGUUGAGUGCAUUGUGUGUGUCUAACUAAAACUUUAUUUUACAGAUACAGCAUCAUUUCAUCGUCUAUAUGGUGGGACAACCUGCAAGACAGGUUGAAGACAUCUGUAUCUACCUCAAAAAAGGCAUGGAGAGACACAUUAAAGAAUAUGUGAAUUGUGAAAUUGGUGAGUUGGGGAUUGCACAGACAGUGGAAGUUUUGCAAAACCUACUUGGUGUCACACAUGGGUGUGAAAUUACUUUUUGGACUCAUUUAUGCACUUAAACUGAACUACCAGAAGAACCUCAGGUG